GUAGGGAAUAUUGGGCAAUGGUCGGAAGACUGACCCAGCCAUGCCGCGUGCAGGAAGACGGCCCUCUGGGUUGUAAACUGCUUUUAUCUGGGAAGAAAAAGGCCAUGCGUGGCAAAUUGCCGGUACCAGAUGAAUAAGCACCGGCUAACUCCGUGCCAGCAGCCGCGGUAAUACGGAGGGUGCGAGCGUUGUCCGGAUUUAUUGGGUUUAAAGGGUGCGUAGGCGGCUGAUUAAGUCAGCGGUGAAAGACUUCGGCUUAACCGGAGCAGUGCCGUUGAUACUGGUUGGCUUGAGUGUCGGAGGGGUACAUGGAAUUGAUGGUGUAGCGGUGAAAUGCAUAGAUACCAUCAGGAACACCGAUAGCGAAGGCAUUGUACUGGCCGACAACUGACGCUGAUGCACGAAAGCGUGGGGAGCGAACAGGAUUAGAUACCCGGGUAGUCC
rnacentral:rRNA from 1 species